CCUACGGGAGGCAGCAGUGAGGAAUAUUGGUCAAUGGACGAGAGUCUGAACCAGCCAAGUAGCGUGAAGGAUGACUGCCCUAUGGGUUGUAAACUUCUUUUAUAUGGGAAUAAAAUGUUCCACGUGUGGGAUUUUGUAUGUACCAUGUAGAUAAGGCACUGCUAACGCCGUGCCAGCCGCCGCGGUAAUACGGAGGAUCCGCACGUUAUCCGGAUUUAUUUGGGUUAAAGGGAGCGUAAGUGGAUUGUUAAGUCAGUUGUGAAAGUUUGCGGGUCAACCGUAAAAUUGCAGUUGAAACUGGUAUUCUUGAGUACACGAGAGGUGGGCGGAAUGCGUGGUGUAGCGGUGAAAUGCUUAGAUAUCACGAAGAACUCCGAUUGCGAAGGCAGCUUACUGGACUGCAACUGACACUGAGGCUCGAAAGUGUGGGUAUCAAACAGGAUUAGAUAUCCUGGUAGUC
rnacentral:rRNA from 1 species